UACGGGGGGGGCAAGCGUUGUUCGGAAUUACUGGGCGUAAAGAGCUCGUAGGCGGCCAACUAAGUCAGACGUGAAAUCCCUCGGCUUAACCGGGGAACUGCGUCUGAUACUGGAUGGCUUGAGGUUGGGAGAGGGAUGCGGAAUUCCAGGUGUAGCGGUGAAAUGCGUAGAUACCUGGAGGAACACCGGUGGCGAAGGCGGCAUCCUGGACCAAAUCUGACGCUGAGGAGCGAAAGCCAGGGGAGCAAACGGG
rnacentral:rRNA from 1 species